GCUGCAGAAGCAGCUUUGUCUCUCACAGGCUGAAUGAGCAGGAUGGUGAAGCAGGGUAUAUUUCCGCCACCCUUACUUGAAGCCAAGGCAGAGUUUUUCUUCCAAAUACACAUUAGUUGCCUAAGUUUUCUGGCUUUGCAUAGCUGGGGGUUUUAAUCUUUUCAGUCUUUUAACUGUUAGUCUGUGGGAUGUAGGAUUAGGCAGUGUUGGUCAUGUAUAAACUAAGCAUUACUUGGGGGAGGGAACUACAUCCAGUCUUUGUUUUUUUCAUUGUCUUGAGCAAAGUUAAAAAGUAUAUCUUCUUACAAUUACUUUACAGGAUUCCACUUAACGUAGAAUGGAUGAUGUAACACUAGUGCUUAUCUUCUUAAUUAAAGGAGAAUUGUUCUUAAGUGAUACAGAUAAGGAUAAUCAUUCCAUGUCAUCAUUAUAUAAAAAGUGCAGACAACACAGCAUCCUUAAUGCAGAAAAAAAUAUAGAGAGGAAAGGAGAAAGGAAAGAGGGAAGAGGAAAGGAAAGGGAAAGCUUUAAAAGAGAUUAACUAUUUAAUAUGGGCAUAGAUUUAAUCUUUUUUAAAACCAUUUGGCUAUCUUGCCUGUCUGUUGAUUAGACAGAGGAAAAUUUCCUGGCUUUAUUUUCUUAACUUAUUCACUUAGAUGAAUAAGUUGAAAAAGUACUGUGGCUGCUUGCUCCCUAGAUCUGUGUUCAAUAAUACCAAAAUUGGCUUACGUUUGGCUGAGGGAAAAUAUUUUCUCAACAAAUGAGAGGGCAGUCACUCUGUCCAAUACCAGGAGUCAGCCAUCUGGAUUUAGCAUCAGGUGCCCAAAGAAAGAACAGAAAAGCUCUUUGUCCUACAUAAAUCUCCAGAGAAGGUUUUGAUCCAGAUCCUCAGUCGGAUGCUGCUUUGGAUAACACUGAAAGCUUACUUUCACUUGUUUAUUAGUGUUGUCUGCUUCUGGAUUUGCAAUGAUUCUGCCAUUCUGCUCCUAUGGUCAGGGUGUUUGUUUUCCCUUCAUUUGUCAAACCAGUAAUGCCAGAGGAAAUGCUAGCCUUCAGUGACUACAGAUGUCUUUAUAUCUUCACUGUCCAACUGUACAGCAGUUCAAGGAACAAAGAACCCUCUUCUCAGUCUCACUUCUUUGCCAGAGUCUUUCUAUGUUUUUCUGGGAGGUACUGGCAUGAUAUUCAGUAAGAAGCUGUCAGAUGAGACAAGCUUUCACUUAACACAGAUCCUACCGAUUCAUUCAGAAGGGAGGAUUUCUUUUAUGUCAGGUAGAAGUGCUACUUUCAGACCAAAAGAGUCUCAAUUUAAAUAGCAGCAGCAACUACUGUCCAGGGAGUGUAUACUGGGAGAUUAAAUAACGGAUGAGGAGAGUCCACGAAAUCAAUAAGUCUGCUGUAGCGUCUGGCCAUCACUUGACAGACGCUGCUGGACCACUUGGUAUAAUGAAGUUCAAGCGUUAUAACAGAUUCCUUACUGGGACCACAAUACAACGUGGUGGUUUUUUUGUGUGGGGGGGUUUUUUUUUUUGUUUUUUUUUUUUUAAUGCCAUGUUGUUGGAAAUACCAUAUGAUGUGCAGAGAUGUGCCUAAAGUCUAAUUGCUGGCCAUUUCCAAGUAUGCUCUAGUGAAAUAGCCAGUAUAACUAAGGAAUGCAUAUAGUGCCAGUUCCAAUGCUGCAGGUAUGCAGUACAAUUCCUCAAGAGACUGUGAAUACAUUAAAAAAUACAUAUUUUAUUUCCUUGGAAUAUUUAUUGAUGACAUUCUUGCUAUUGCAAUUGCAAGAUGAUCUAGAAAUUUAAUGGAUUUUGCAUUGAUUUAAUGUGCCUAUGUUGCUCUGAAAGUAAUGCUUCCUAUUUUUUCCAUGGAAACUACAACAAAGAGCACAAUAACAUUGUUUGACUGAGCAAAUUCUCAGCUACAAAAUACUGUUUUUCAACAUAGUCACCACCAUUAACUGUGUAUUUUCACCACCGAAGAUCAAGAGCCAGCAUGCCAUGCUCAUAAAAAUCUGCAUCAGUGGAGGUGACCCACUGUUUCACAGGUGCUAUGACAGCAUGAUUACCAGGUAGAAAUCAGAAGGCAUCAAAUCCAGACUGUGCAAUGGGUGUGGUGGGACAGUCCAGCCAAGAUGGGCAAGGUCUUCCAUGGUCUUCAAACUGAUAUGGAGCCUGGUGUUAUAAUAUUGCAGGAGAAAGGCUUUCUUCUUCUCUGGCCUGACUCUGGAAGUUUGAGCCAUCGGCUGACUAAGUUGUGAUGAGUGGUCAGAGUUAAUGGUUUCACUUUCACAGGAACCUGUCACCUUCAGCCUCAUAUUUGUUCAGUAGAUUCCGGCAAACUUGCAAACUUCUUUCUGUUCCUAUGUGAGCAUUUGUGGAACCUGGUACAAACUUUGUGAUAUUCCAAUGUUGCCAUUGUUGUUUCUAAUGCACUGAAGCUGAUAUUCAACUUCAUACGUAGUUCUCUGGUUGUAAUCUGCCAGUUCUCAUGGAUGAGCUCACCAAGACUUUCAUUUUGUGGUGUUACUGCAGUGCAUGGCUGUCCAGAAUGUGGUUUGUCUUUCACAUCACUGUUGCCACUGCUGAAAUGCACUACCCACCACCUCACUGUGCUCACAUUUGCUCUUUGGUCUCCACAAAGGUUCACCAAACAUUGAAGAAUGUCAGUGGGUGCUGUUUUUUCCACACAGAGGAAUUCAGUGACACACCUUUGCUUCAUAUGCACUUCUAUGUCAGAUGCCGUUCUGUCAGACUGCCCCUCUGCUGCCAUCUGUCACGCAGCAACAAAAUGCAAUGGAAUAUUGGUGGGAAGAUUCAACCUCUAUUGCCAUACCACCGACAUCCACCUCUGAUGUUGUGGUUCAACAUAAUAAAACAGGUGACAUUACUUUCAGAGCAACCUUUACAUAAUCAGCCACAGAACACAAAAGCUUGUGAAUAUGCUUCCUUGUGGUAAAAAUAGAAAAUCUUUUCUUAGAAUAGUCACAACCAUAAAUUUGGUCAUUUGAAUGCUCACAAAUAGCCUGAAAUCUGUCUGUUUGUCUAACUACACAAGAAGAUGCAUCACUUCCAAGAACACAUGGAACUACUUGCUGUGUGCAUGUAUGAUAAUUAUUUUCAUGUUAUAUAGUCUGUCUAACAACAGUUUGCACAGUGCCUAUGCAUAUGCCUCUCUUAAAUGACUACAUUAACUCAAUCAAUCCAAAGAUGAAAAAUCUGUUUCCUGAACUAUUCAGAUUGUUUAACCAUUCAUUUUCUUCCUUUUGAUGUGUAGCUGCAUUUCAGUGUUUAUAAGCAUAAUUCAGUGCUGUCACAAUUGAGUUUUCUGUAACUUUUUACUCAGUAGUGCAGUAAAAAGCAUACAGCUUAUGAGAUAACAGUGUUAUGUAAAUAGGUCAUAGAAUGGAAACUGUUCCCUGUUUAGAAGUGUAGUGCCACUGAAGCAGGUAAAAAUGGUUUUCAUCCAAUCUUUGUACUGAAAAUUUAUUUUAUCUCAUUUGACUGAGAUUUCUUUGCUACUCUGCUUCCAUUUAUGAAUAGUCCACUUUUUGCUGUUGAAUAACAGAAUUGCAUUAAUUCGUUAAUCAAAUUCUGUACAUGUAAAACAUUGUUUGAUCUCUAAUCUAAUGUUCUGUUUCAAGGAGUGCCCAAUAGCAGGUAAUCAGUGUAAGAUUAAAAAUAAAAAGGUUCUGUAAUAGAUUGUUUCACGUGACAAUUUCUCAGGAAGAUCAAACAUGCCAGAUGUUAAACAAAUAUCCAUUGAACUGUUUUCCUUUUGAGAACACUUAAAAGAUUAAACUGCAGAAUGUUUUACAUUUCCUGUAAUGUCAUUUGCGAUGUGUAAACUAAUGCUAGAAUCUCAAUUUGAGAUGAAUACCCAGAAGCAAAACUUUAUUGCAGUGUGUUUCAGGUCAUUGAAGGAUGAAAGAGUUAGGAAGACAUGCCUCUAGAAAUACUGUUCAAUACAAGGCAGGCCCUAUCUUGCAGGCUGUUUCCCUCAACCUGACUUGGAAGCAGUUGAGGCAAGUGAAAUAGCAGAGGAGGCAUAUGUUUGUUUCUUAAAAUUACUGCUGUGUGUAGCACUACUCUGUCCUUACCGACUUUUUCCUUUCUGUAGAUCACUUAAAUUUUAUGUAAGGAAGGGGUCUCCACCAUGAACUUUGAGUUGUGAAAAAUACAUAGCAAGACAACACAUUACGUGUUAAUUUUGAAUACACCUAGCGUAAAUAAUUGCACUUUCCUUCUCCACAUAAUGUAAUUCCUCUGUGUUCAUGUUGGAAAACUAGACAGCCACCACAGAUGUAGUGAUGCUCUGUAAUUACUGAGAAAUGUGGAUUUUCCCAGGUACUCAUUUCCCUGAAUUCUAUCACCGUAUGCCUCAUUUGGAGGCUGACUGUAUGGUUGCUUCACAAUAACUGCUAUUCAAAGACAUAAGCAAAGAAAUACACACUUAGCUUGUCAGAAGGCAUUGAAUUUCAUUGUUUUGAUAUGUUUAUUUUAGAAAAGUUGCAGCAUUAAUUGUAUUCAUUUCCUAUUAGUUUCUGGCUUUGACUCACUUCUGUGCUCAGAAUGAUUAAGAAACUUCUGGGAAGAUGUUAACACAUUCUCCUCUUCCCACAUCCCCCAAUUCAAAAUAUACAUAUAUAAGCUAAAAAAAUGCUUCAAAGCCACAAAAAAGGGAAUUUCAGGCUGCUAAAAUUUUUAAAAUAUUACCAAAAAAUACCCAUAGUGUAUCAAAAUAGUUAGGAACUGUUUGUUCAUGAGAACUAAGAGGGUCUCUUUUUUAAAUCCCUCUCACGUUGCCCAGAUGUGGUAGAGCAGGAAGAUGUAUAUUUUAAAAGGAGAAGGGACAGCUAAUCUGAAGGAGCUUAAGAGAUGCAUUGGAAGCAGAGGCUGGUGACGUUUUAGCAGGCAGUGAUGCCUGUGUGGUAGCUAGCCAAGAAGUCUGGUCCUAUGAAUUAUUGAAUGGAAUUUGGGAAUGAACUGAGAUGACACCUGGAACCUAAAGUUGACUAAGCAAGAUACUGAGACAAUGCCAAGAAAGUGGCAGAUAAAGAGCAAAGCAAAUGAAGGUUAGAACUGAGUUGCAGGGAAGAAAUGUCAUUGAUGGGACUGACAAGCCAGGCAUAUAUUGGUUAUAUGUAAUUUGUUAUAUUGUGUUGAGGGAUAUGGUUUAGUGAGAACCAUUGGUGAAGGGCAAAUGGUUGGACUGGAUGAUCCUGUGGGUCUUUUCCAACCUUAGCGAUUCUAUGAUUCUAUAAAUUUCUACUUAUUUUUCAAUCCAGAGAUAGGCUGUUCUUCUCUCCUAAGUAAUUAAUAUAUGUUUGAAGCUGAGAAAAGACUAUAAAGUAUGUGAAUUUUGAGUGAGUAUUCUAGUCAUCAUUUCAGGGAACAGGAGCACUACCCUGUAGAACUGGCAUCUAUGCAGAGCUGGAUAAACUAAGCGAUGGAAUAUGGUUCUGGCCUUUGAAUUCUCAUCUCAGGGAGCUGUCUCAUCCAGAAAGGAAAGAAUCAGACAGACUCCUUUCUUCAGCUUUUCCUAACAAAUUAUUUCCAUUCUGCAUGUUUGGUGGUGUGACACCUGCUCCAAGCUUCCUGUGGCUCCCAUUUGUACAGAAAAUGGUGGCAAAAUGGGGGGCGUAGGAAAGAUUUGGGCCUGACAUAGGCAUUUCAGUGUCAGCAGCAACAUCUCACAUGAGCCUUAGUACUUGGGUGCAAGUUUUACCUGGCAAUUCUUUGGCAGAAUUAGAGACAGAAUCCAUUUGUCCUGGGAAGCAUGUAACUCAGCUAUUGGACUGUCUUUGCUGUCCUCAACCUUUCUGGCUCUUCCCCUGUGCAUCUUUUUCUUGACAAAUAAUGACUCAUGGGGCUUUUCAUAAGACUCUUUUGCCUUUGAAUUCCUUCCACCCAAGAAAAGGAAACAGGACUAUUCUACAGCUAAAAGAUGUGGGAAGAAAAAAUUGUGUUAACUUGUAAGUGAAAUGUUAAUGUAUAGGGCCAUUUAUUACUUUUUAAAAAAAUAGCUUUGUCAUAUGAAUAAUUUUAACCUAUUUUACGCAUGUGAUGUAUAAAGCUUCUUAAUACUUACAUUAUUUUUACACAUUUACAACCUUUUCAACCUAUUCACCUGGAAAAUCUAUGGCAAACAAGUGUAUAGUACACAUGCCCUAUGAGAAUUUCUUCUGAACUAAAUUUCAUUUGGAUAUAAGAAAUUAAUUCUAUAAUAAAAUGACCUGAGAAAAUCAAGUCGUACAGACCAUAGCUCUGACUUUUUUUCUUGGGUCCUCAAAAUCAACUGGUGUAGUAUCUUCAUUAUGUUAUUUCAUUUGAAAAGCACUGAAAAUGCUGUGACAGGCAGAAGGUGAUAGGAUUUUUAGGAAUAUUUUUCCUGACGUUACUUGUAAAUUUUAAUGUCGGUGGGAUCUUAGCAGAAGUAGUUUAGAAGUAGUUGUAGUUUGGCCAGAUUGCAUGCUGCUUGGUCACAAUUUUAUGUUGUUGGAAUGUGUUUUGCCUGUGUAGAAGCGGAUAAUCAGCCUUGCUAACCAUAUGCCUAAAAAAUGUUAUCUAAUAACAGUACAUCCUUGGUUGUACUAAUGGGAUUAAAACUAUCUUGCAUACUUUUCAAGAGGCCUUUAUCCUGUGGAGACAUACACACUAAGGAGGGACAACCCUGCUAGCAGUUGUUAAAUUCACAUACCAUUUGCAACCUUUUCUAAUCAUACUCUUCCUAGGAAGCCCACCACAUUUGCCACAGUUUCCUUGGAAUGAGACCAAGUGUGCUUUAAAUUGAUACAAGCUUAUUUGAGAAAGUCUGUCAAAGCUGUCACCAGAAACCAAAAAUAGUUUCUUCAGACAGAAGGCUUGUUCCUUUCAUGAUUUUUUGCUAAGCAGAUGUGGCUUCAACCACUGUUUGAAUUUGUGUCUCACUUUCAGAGGUCAAGAAUGUUUCAAAACAGUUUUGACAUAAACUCCUCUCUGGUUUUUUCUCGUGGUUACCUUUCAAAAGACAGCCAACCUCUGUUGGUAUUUAAAUGGAAUUAAUCAGAAGAAAGAGGGACCUACGGGCCUUUCUAAAUCUCACCCAUUCCUCUGCUGUGAGAGCAGAGCUGUUGCAGCUGGAUUCCUGCAACUCCGGUGGCAAAGCACCCACCUGGAGUCUGUUCUCAGCUCAGCCACCAGAUCUGGCAGCUGGUCUCACAGCUCUAGACUUCUGUCUUUGCACCUGCAACAAGGCAGUAAAAAUCCUGACUUAAUGCAUAUUCUUAUUUCUAAUAUUGUUAUUUGUUAGUGUACGUAUGGCAGGUUAUUGAUGGCUUAAAGGAGCAUCAGCUGUUGUGACUGAGGUCUUUGGGGUGUUUUGCCAAACUACUGUAACAGCAUUGCGCAUAAAGCAACAAGAUUUUGCAUUUUUUUUGUGUCCUUAUAUGGACAGAUAGGUUGAUGACUUUCUAAUUCAUCAGUCUUGUUCUGUAAGGACAGCCACUGAACUUUUCUUUUUCAAGGAAGGUGGUGAGCAAAAGACAAUAAAAAACCACUAGCUGAUUUUCUUUUAGAUUGUGUUCCAUGCACGAUAGAGUUCAUGCUAUAUCUAAGCAUAGUUGUGUCUGUUUAUAAAUGAAAAUCUCUCAGAAACAUGAGAAAUGAAUUGAAACAUGAGAAAUUGAUUUUGUAAAAAUUAUCAGUCGUGAUUUUGCUUCUGCCCUGUACUGUAACUACUAUAACCUUAAUCCAUAAAUCCAGUCUUCUUUGGGAAAGUCUUAGCUGGUGUUAAUCACGAAAAUUAGAAAACUUGAAGUAUAAAAAGAUAAUGGAUUGCACCUACAAAUGUAUUCUUCAGUUCUAUAUGCAAACAAGCAGCUGCUCACAGAAAACUCUGUGUGAACACUGCAGUUUUAAUUUGUCAUCUUUGUUUUUCAGUGGCAUACCUUUAAUAUCACUUACAUUUCUGUGAAAAAUAUUUUUAUUACUUACCAGAAUUGUUUGCACUAUAAUGGAUUAUCUUUUUCCAUUUAAAAACACUAAAACAUUCUGUCUAUUAUCUCAUUUGUAGUACAACUUGGAAAAUGCAGGAAGGAUAUUGCAGUAUUCUCACGUGUGUCCGUUAUUCAUUUUCCUGCAGAGUAUUGGAAAUCUGUGUCAAAAUCCAUCUCUUUGGCUGACCUUUGGGAAGGCUCCGUUGAUGUGUUCUGACUUUGUAGCCUUGAAGAUAAUGCAACGUGGCCCCAGUGACCCCUUUGUUUUAGAAGAAAGCGAAGUUGGAUAGAGUGAUAAACAAUUGGAACUGUUUAGUUGGCAGCCAUCCUGGCAAAGAAGCCUGUCAGUGCCUAUGUAUAAUUUCCAUGGAAAUAAAUAAGAGGCAUUGCUUUCAGAGUGACACACUGAAACAGCUCUCCAUUGCUACCAGUAGAGAGGAACUUAUGCCCUAUGUUGCAGAAAGCACUCGGUAACACCAGGAUUCAACUGUUCCUCCUGCAGAACGGGAGGUUUCUGUCACUCACGGCCUGCUGUCCUUCUGUGUCAGAGGAAACCCAGUGUAAUGAGACAUGCUGCUAAGAAGGUUCUGGAGGAGGCUAGAGCACUCUUACUUGCAAUACCUGAGGAAUGUGCUUUUGUAGAACACUCAAAACGUACUUAUGAUUCUUCGGGCACAUAAGGCUGGACAGUCCAUUCACAGAUGGCCUUGAAGUCUUCAGCUUCUCUUGACUCAUCUGUGGCUGUAUAAAAGUUUGUCAAAGAAUGUGUGCAUAUUAAACAUCUGCCCAGCCUGCAGUGCCUGAGUCAGGCACACUAAUAAGCUUGUGGUAAUUACUUUAUGCUAAAACUAGACUUUUUUUUUUUUUUUUUAAAUAUAGCAAGAUGAAAAUACAGCUCUCAGGAAGACAGCUCACAUCUAACAGGAGCCUGGGAAAGAGGCCCACUUUUUUUUUUUUUUUAAACUGUUUGCAAUACAGGCAGGAGAGCCGUAGUGCUGCUCAGAGGGAGAAUGUGCAACAGCAAUUCUUUGACAUGUGGUACGUUCUUUACUCUACAUCUUAAAAAUAGAUCUAUUCUCAAAACUGGUGCAAUAAUAAUGUAAGCCAUAGAUUAUAUGGAGUUCUUUAUAUUCAGUUUCAGAGAGGUACAAAUGGGAAUCUCGCACAAAGAACAGAAAAAGAAAUACUUUCAAAUGAGCUUGACAGGAAUCUUAAAUUAUUCUGUGCUACAAUUUGAUAGGCUAACUUCUGGUUUCAUGAGAAUACUCUGAUAUUACGUAAAAUAAGUUUGAAUCCAAACUCAUGCCAAAUGCACCUACCACUGAAUUCUUCAAUAAGUCUGAAAACAAAGUGUUUAGGCCUGGACAAUCUUUCCUUCUCUCACUCUUAAAAAUAAAUAAGUUGAGGGGGGUUUUUCCCCACAAGAUGAAAGCAGCCAGGAGCUUGGUACAGCUGGUCAGUGUAAUCAAGUUUCCUGCCUAGUUGAUUGUUGAUCUUAAAUAAUUCCACUCAGCUCUGUGUUGAUAAGUAUACAGGAAAGAUCUUUCUCACUUCAGGAACGUCUAUCUUCUCAUGAGAGUCCUACUUAAGUAGGGAAAAUACUUGCAUUUGCUACAGUUUUAUACUUGAAACCAUCAUCUUCUUCAGCUCACUUUGCCUGUUGAACCAGAUUUUGCAAAGUUCCAAACAGUGGGCAACAUCUGUGUUAACAGAGGAGGUUUCUCCUCUCAUAAUCCUGCCUGCAUUGGCAUUUAUACCCUAUGGAUGGAAUUUGCAGAGCUGGGAAUAAUAAUAACCCUUAAAGCACUUAAAUCUGGUAAUCAAAGACAUGUGAAGGCCCAAUAGCUAGAAGCUGAAAGCUGCAAGGUUCAACGCAGAAACAGGAUGGGCUUUUAAAUGGAAAACGCAACUGACCAGAGCUCUGUGAACUACCAGCUGGAAUCUUCUAUGCAAGACAUACUGCCCUUUGAAAGAUAGGCUCUCAUUCAACUUCAGGGUUUGAGGCUUGAUAAAGAAAUGGCUGGGAGAAACUACAUGACCUGAGUAACACAGGAGGUCAGACGUGCUGUCCAGAACAGACUUCUCUGGAAAGGAAAUUUGUGAAAACAGUAAUAGAAAUAUCCAAUCCUGUGAGUGUUUUAAGCAUUUAUUUAGGACUUGGGUUCAACACCUCGAAUGUAAUGUGCUUUUCUGCCUCAAAUUCCUAAGGUCAUUUAUACCAGGCCAGCUUCUCAUGACUACUUGUAUUUAUAGUUUGUCUGCCUGGUUGUCACUGGUCACAUUUUUAGGUUUGCAUUACAUUCUAAAUCCCCUGAGUCAUGUUCAUGUUUACCACUCUUUUCUUUCUUUUAUGAGAUUUUUCCAUAAACCUGUAAUUAAUAACAUCCUUUCCUUUUCUCUGCUGAAGAGUCACAACCACAAGUAAUCUAUCACAUCUCCAAUUUGUCCCUUACAAUUCUCUCUUAUCCCUCACAAAAGAUGCAUUUCCAACAAGAAGUUCAGACUCCAUCUCUCCCAGUUUCCUAUUUGGAUAGCUGAAAAAAAACAUUGCCCUUCUUCCAAAUAGUUUCCAUUUUUUUGCUUCAGAUUCUGCUUUGAAAGUGAUUUCAAUAAAAAUCAGGUCUUUCUACUCCCUGCCAUCUCAGUCACUUUAUUGUUCCUUUUUUUUUUUUUUUUUUUUUUCCCUCUCCUUUCUUCUUUUAAGCUGAUUUGUGCUGGAGGGGAGAGAGCUGGGGGAAACAAGCUGUGUCUGAGUCCAUCAUCUCACUCCCUCACAGUUAGUUCACCUGUUUCAAGAUUCAAAGUCAUGACUCAAUUUGCUGUUCACUGGAGACAAAGAAAUGACGCAUGCACAGAGUGAAAGAAAACAGGAUCAAACAGUAUGUCCAGAAACAUUGCACAACAGUUUUUCUUGAAACAAGGUCUUGUAACUCCACAUUCAGUGCCGUAUUAUACUACAGGCUGAACACACUGAUAGUAAAGACAGCUAAUUUCUUCCCACAUGUUGAUCUGAAUCAUGAACAGUCUCAGUCCUGACUGAGAUUUGGGAAGUUGUGCUCCAGGUAACAAAUCCUCUUCCUAUAGCUUUUCACAGAUAGCAAUAAACCAGCAAUACCAGGCUAUUACAUACACAUUUGAUACCUAGAUUGCUCUAGGGCCCUGUACAAGGGACCAACAUGUGUGCCUCCGGCUUCCUGACACCAUGGCAGUGAUGUGGCUCUCACUCCAGAUGAUGAGUAUAUAAGUAAAGUCUGCAUUUGACUCAGUUGGUUUCUACUUCUUCACGUAAGUCAUUGUUUUAAGAGACAACAUAAUACCAAGGGAAAAAUAAUGUGAUGUGUGGGAGCUGGCAGUAGGGAUUUUUCCCAAAUGUUUGGGAGGAUCCUAUUUCUCACAGAUGGUGUUGCCAAGAAACAUCCUAUUUUUCUUUCAGAAAAUAAAGGAUUGUUGGCAAUAAUCUUGUGCCUAAAGUAUUUCCCCAGUGCUAACACCAAAAUUACUGUAAAAUAAGAAAGCUUUAUUCAAAGAUACUUUGCUUUUUAAGUAAGUGGAAGAACGCAGAGAGGCCUAACAGAGAAGAAAGGUGAAGGGAUUAAUUUAACACCAACAGAGGUAACUACAAACUACCUAGGAAAAGACCCUGCGAUUAGCCCCUUUCCAAGUAGAUGGUGUGUUGCAGUGGUGGGAAAUUCUAAAGCUAGAUGAACCCAGGUCCAAAAACUGACCCUUAAGAAAGGGGACAAUAAAUAUUGCAAGUUUCCUUUCACAGUUGCAUGUAGUCAUGCCAUGCCUACUCUCUUUUGCAGGUUGUCCUUCACAUUCUCUGAGUUUUUACUUAUUAGGCAGAAAAAGUGUUUCAUGGAGAUUCAUAGAAUGGCUCGUGUUGGAAGGGACCUCAAGGAUCAUCAAGCUCCAGUCCCCCUGCCGCAUGCAGGGCCACCAACCUCCAUAUCUAAUACUAGACAUAUAGACUUAUACAUACAGACUACACUAAGUAAUCUAUUAGAGCUUGAGAUAAUGGAAAGUCAUUUGGAAACUGGGAUCAAAUGAGAAAGUUGCACUUGGGCAAUGCAUAAUGUGUACAUGCUAAAGAUUGGUCAAGAUGAAUACUCUCAUCCAGAAGUCCUGUAGAUACAUCUUCACAAUGGGAAGUAUUCCACUGAAGCUACCUGUCCAUAUUAACAUGGCACAGAAUCCACAAAUGCUUCACUCCACUUCUCAGGCAAGCAGUGGAAGAAUUCUUGUAUCUUUCAUCUGUUGCUGCAAAGUGGUGCACAAGUCAAAAUCACAAUUGAAAAGUUAACAGUUGAUCAACCUUACUAUAAGCCUACUGAUACAAGAUCUGCAGAAAGGAAGGACUGGAUUAUUUGGGUGAAGAAAGCAAAAACAUUCAGAUCCUACAUCCAGAAGAAUUGCUGUUAAUGUUUACAGGUUUCAUGUAUGUUCUUUUGCCUGAGCUGUGCUUUGGGGUGCAUUGGCUCUUUUCUCUGGAGUAAAACAUGAAAAAUCUUCCUUUCUUUGGUGAUCUCCAGAGCUUUUUAAAGGUACGGUAGAACAAUAGUACUCUCACAGUAGUUUUAAUGGGACAGAAGUGUUGCUGUGUUGUCUUACAGAUUUUAUCAAAUUGUGCUUAGAAUUCAUUCAUUUUGAUCACUCAUAUUAUAGACAAAAUUCUUCUUGUAGGAUGUUUAUAUGUCCCAGAGCAUUCAUAAUGCACUGUGUUCAGCCAUCUACAAGCAUUUAAUUACAGACCGUCUGUUUCAUGUAAAAAAUAUUUGCCAAGACUCUUUUGGCAGAGUAAGGAGUGAACUUCGUAAAGGAAAACCAAGUUGCUCAUCGGUGGUGGCAGCAAAAAUGGGGAAAAGAACUACCCAAGAGUUUCUUGAAGAUUCCAGUUGAUGGAUCCUGGCCUGAUUGGGUCUCUUAUAUAAACCUUGAUGGAAUGGUGCUAAAUUUUGCAUGGAAACCUUUAUUUUUUUCCCCACUUCAACAACUGUAGCUGAAUGUACAUUUAAAAAUGGUAUUUGAAAAUUAAACUCAUAAGACAUCAUUAUACAAGACAUAAGCACAAACUUAGUACAGAAAGGGAGAAAGCAUCCAGUCUUUGAAAAUAAUGUUUGUGCCUUGUGCUUUUUUAAAACAUAAACAUAGAUUAUCAGCACGCUACUAAAGUGAGGCUGCAUCUCACCUUCCACAGUCUCACAGCAUAAAAAUAGCAUAUUUGAACUUACCAGAAGAUUGAUGUUUCUUUGCUUUCGUAUUACUUUUUCCUUUGUAUUUUAUGAAAAUGUAUGCCUUGCUGUCCAAUGUUGAAAAUAUCCACUGAGGUGAUUUUAAAGUUAAACCUGAAGAUUCAAGUUGGAAGUUACUGAAGGAUGAGUUUGGGUUUUUUCAAAGUGCUAUUAUUUUGACUCCUUGAGGGCUCCACAUGAAUACUUUACCUCUCCUUUUCUUUCUUUGGUUUGAGAUUCAUAACUGCAGCUGCUGUGCAAAGUAAAGUUUCCAUUGAGGACUAGCUGACCAAAUUUGUCAUGCUGAAAGUGAAAGUUGUAUCAGAAAGAGUGGGGUUUCCUUCAGUGCAGCAAGUCUGAGUACUGGAGCAGGUUCUAUUUCAGUCAUCCCUCCACUUCAGCAUAUAUCAACAGAUGGAAUCAGUGCAUCUUUUCUGUUGUACUUCAGCCUCCUACUCACUGACCACAGCAGGGACUAUGUCACGUCAUUGAGCACCAAGAGACACUGGAGAGAGGGAGUCCAACUGCCCACAGAGGCCCUGAGGUGCCUGGAGGAGGGAAACACCCCAGGGUAUCUCAUCUUCCUCCUCCACCCUCCUCCCAAAGCCAAAUGCCCAGAAUGUGCUGAGCUGAACUGAAACCCUGCCCUGUGGCCUUGGGGAGCAGUCAGCUAUGUGGCUGUAGACACCAUAUGCUGAGGGAGCACCACCUUCCUGCUUUCACUGGCAGAAGUGAGUUUCCCUUAAAAACCAGCAAAUUAUGCAGUUUCACACCUGACUCUUCAGUUGAGCAGGUGGAAAUGUCCUUUUCUGGGCCUCAACAGUAAAGGAGCCAAAGGCCAGGGGUCAGCUAUUAAGUUCAGCUGUUCCCUAUUGCAGGUUCAACUCAUGCUCCCUGGCCUGGCUGUGCUCUGAGGCACCUUGAGGCACUUGUGCCUUUGCGGUAUGAGCUCAUUUGUUGUCAUUUCCACUUUGGGGUGGGAAAAAAGGUCAUAAGAAGAGAUCAGUAAAUGUGCAGCAUUCAUAAAGCAAGGCCUCUUCAAAACAGACACGUUGCAGUGUUAUCAUAUCCAGGAAAACAGCAACAGACAGCGUAACUUUAAAAUACCACCCAGAAACUCUUGCUUGGAAAGGACAACUCACAGCAUCAAAGCCUGGACGUACUUGCCAAACCAUGCUUUAACUUACUGCCAAGACACCAGAUUUAUCCCCUUAGUAGCAAUGAUGCGCUAGGCAAGAUGGUGAUUGCUACAGCAAAGUGGGGAUGGGUUUGUUUCACAGUGGUCACGAUGACAGAAGGAGCCCUGCAGAUAUUAAUACUUGAUGAGAAAGGUACAUGAAAUUAGCCUGUGAACUGUUUGUGGAUAAAUAACUCUCAAGCAUACAAUAAGAAUUCAAGCAAAUUAAUUUAACAGCUAGAAGUCAAAUGUAAUGAAAAAAUAUUUAUGAAAAUUUUGUAUGUUUAGGUGAAUAGUUUCAAACCAAAAAUAAAUGAGAAAUAAAUACAGCCUAGUAGAAAUUGGACUGUGUUUAGAUUCUGAUAAUCUGAAAGGGCAUUUUUUAGCAUAAGGAUAAGUUCAGGUGAUUAUUUAAAGAAUAAGAUCAGAAUGGCUGUUCUUGACUUUAAUUUGGAGCCAAAAUAUUCUAUGUAAAGAACUUGUAAAAUCCAUGUCCCCUUUAGUUCUACAGUCAGUAAUUACUCACAGGAUAGAGUAUUCAGAUUUAUGAGGAAGAAGGAGAGAGUGGCAGUAAGUUGUUACUUCUAUUUCCAGCCAAUGUUUGCAAAUUCAAUGGCAAUAACAAACCAAAAACCUGACUUUCUCCCUUCAAACCGCUCUAUAUCUGUGGUCAAAAAUGUAUAGCUAUGUUUUACAUCUUUUUUAGCACAUAAACAUUUAAGGAUACUUACCUCAACCACACGACAAUUUUCUGAGCCUUGCAAGUCUUACAAAUCCCUAAUCACAGUUGGAUGUAUUCAGUAAUGUAGAAUUAAGGAGUAACAGCUGAAAUGCACCUGGGUUAGGUGGCUACUGAGGUUAUAUGGUGUCGAAAUAAUAAGGUGUGGGUCUGGUUAGAGAGGGACCAGGCAUCUGUUCCCACCUCAGCUACAACUUCCCAUACUAGUACUCAUAUUGAGUACUGAGUAUUAUAGUACUGAGGAUUAUAGCACUAGUGAUUGUGCUAUAACAGUGAUUGUGAUUACUGAGGUAAUCUAAACAGAGAACUUUGCUUCUCUGGAAGUGGAGAAUAACUACUGUAUUUUAGUGACAUGCUGAUGGAACCUCAGUUUGGAUGUCCAAAGAUGUAGUUCCUGGCUGAUGCAUAUACAAGUAAAUUGUUACUGACUUAAUUUUGUCUUAAUGGGAUUCUUUUGUUGACAAGGUAAAUUUGUGACUUCUGAGCCGAGAAUUGUCUUUAGCUGGUGACAGCUUUCAUUUAGAGCAAGCAUUAUACUUAUUACCAUGACAGAGGCCCUUAAACAGGAAGAUGGAUAAAUUCUACUAGCAAGGAAUGGUAGCUGGCCUCUUGAUAACAUAUGGCAUAGCAUUGAACAACUUCCUGGAAACCUUAGCAGUGCAGAGGUUUGAAAGAACUGGACUGGCCUGCAGUUCAUAAACAUCAUAGGCUGAAUAAGCUGCUUCUAACUGCAUCAGAAACUUUUGCUCAUAUAUUUAGACUUUGCUUCUAGAACUAAAAGUGCUAAAAAGUGGCAAGACUAAAAAGGCAGCACAGCAAUAAAAAUUCCAUUUUGACUCUGGGGAGAGCCUCAGAGAUGUUGUGGUCAGAAUUUUCUCCAUUAUUUGCAAGUUCUCAAAGAAGAAUUUUCUUCAUUCUGGAUUAGCCUUUUGCAAAAUCUAUUAAGACUUUUAAUUUCAUUUAAAAAUAUUCUUAUGUUUUGAAACUUAGUCUGCAGGAAGUUUAACCAGACCUUAAUUAAGGACUCUGAGUGUGACAGAAGCUUGUGUAUCAACAAGGUGCUUUGCUUGUCUGCCCAAUAAAAAUACAAGGAGUAAUGCCAGUUUGGGGAGUAAGCAGAGCAGAAGCGAAGCAGGGAGGGGGGCACAAAUUAUGAGCUGCUUUGGUCUCCAUUGUCAGGAAGUACUUCACCACUUCCAUUGCCUCACUACAUCUCUUCUAUUAGAAAGCCUUUAUAAAUUACAGGAAUAAGUGGCCCUUAGCAAAUAACUUCAAAACAGAGCAACUAAAUAGGACUGAAGGAGAAUGGGAAACUCCAUUCUGCUACUGCUAAAGCAGAUAGUUCUGAGCUGCUGGCAUUUUUUCCCCCUCUCAGCUCAGGAUGAAAGACAAAAAUGUUAAUUUCCACAAAUUGAAAAUCUGAAAAAUGUGAGCUGAGGUCAGCUGGAACAUUUCGUUUCUAUAAUUUUGUAAUAUCUUUUGACAAUGCUGAUCUGUCU
ensembl:lncRNA